UACAGAGGGUGCGAGCGUUGUCCGGAAUCACUGGGCGUAAAGGGCGCGUAGGCGGCUUGGUAAGUAGGGGGUGAAAUACUUCAGCUUAACUGGAGAAGUGCCUUCGAUACGGGCAGACUAGAGGUAUGCAGGGGAGAACGGAAUUCCUGGUGUAGCGGUGAAGUGCGCAGAUAUCAGGAGGAACACCGGUGGCGAAGGCGGUUCUCUGGGCAUUACCUGACGCUGAGGGGCGAAAGUGUGGGGAGCGAACAGG
rnacentral:rRNA from 1 species